GGGCCCGUAGCUCAGUUGGUUAGAGCGCCGUGCUGAUAACGCGGAGGUCAGUGGUUCGAUUCUACUCGGGCCCACCA
rnacentral:tRNA from 1 species